ACAGCAACUGACGGUGAGGCGCGAAAGUGUGGGGAGCAAACAGGAUUAGAUACCCUGGUAGUCCACACUGUAAACGAUGAAUACUAGGUGUGCGGGGACUGACCCCCUGCGUGCCGCAGUUAACACAAUAAGUAUUCCACCUGGGGAGUACGAUCGCAAGGUUGAAACUCAAAGGAAUUGACGGGGGCCCGCACAAGCGGUGGAUUAUGUGGUUUAAUUCGAAGCAACGCGAAGAACCUUACCAGGGUUUGACAUCCUGCUAACGAAGUAGAGAUACACUAGGUGCCCUUCGGGGAAAGCAGAGACAGGUGGUGCAUGGUUGUCGUCAGCUCGUGUCGUGAGAUGUUGGGUUAAGUCCCGCAACGAGCGCAACCCCUAUUGUUAGUUGCUACGCAAGAGCACUCUAGCGAGACUGCCGUUGACAAAACGGAGGAAGGUGGGGACGACGUCAAAUCAUCAUGCCCCUUAUAUCCUGGGCUACACACGUAAUACAAUGGCGGUCAACAGAGGGAGGCAAAGCCGCGAGGCAGAGCGAACCCCUAAAAGCCGUCCCAGUUCGGAUCGCAGGCUGCAACCCGCCUGCGUGAAGUCGGAAUCGCU
rnacentral:rRNA from 1 species